GACGAACGCUGGCGGCGUGCUUAACACAUGCAAGUCGAACGGAAAGGCCCUGCUUUUGUGGGGUGCUCGAGUGGCGAACGGGUGAGUAACACGUGAGUAACCUGCCCUUGACUUUGGGAUAACUUCAGGAAACUGGGGCUAAUACCGGAUAGGAGCUCCUGCUGCAUGGUGGGGGUUGGAAAGUUUCGGCGGUUGGGGAUGGACUCGCGGCUUAUCAGCUUGUUGGUGGGGUAGUGGCUUACCAGGGCUUUGACGGGUAGCCGGCCUGAGAGGGUGACCGGCCACAUUGGGACUGAGAUACGGCCCAGACUCCUACGGGAGGCAGCAGUGGGGAAUAUUGCACAAUGGGCGGAAGCCUGAUGCAGCAACGCCGCGUGCGGGAUGACGGCCUUCGGGUUGUAAACCGCUUUCGCCUGUGACGAAGCGUGAGUGACAGUAAUGGGUAAAGAAGCACCGGCUAACUACGUG
rnacentral:rRNA from 1 species